CCUACGGGAGGCAGCAGUCGAGAAUCAUUCACAAUGGAGGAAACUCUGAUGGUGCGACGCCGCGUGGAGGAAUGAAGGUCUUCGGAUGUUAAACCCCUGUCCUGGGGGUGCAAAUUAAAAAUAUCGUACCACAAGAGGAAGAGACAGCAAACUCUGUGCCAGCAGCCGCGGUAAUACGGAGGUGUCAAGCGUUGUUCGGAAUCACGGGGCGUAAAGCGUGCGUAGGCUGUGUCGUAAGUCGUGUGUGAAAGGCGGGGGCUCAACCCGCGGAUGGCACAUGAUACUGGGAGGGUAGAGUAAAGGAGGGGUAACUGGAAUUCUCGGUGUAGCAGUGAAAGGCGUAGAUAUCGAGAGGAACACUCGAGGCGAAGGCGGGUUCCUGGACAUUAACUGACGCUGAGGCACGAAGGCCAGGGGAGCGAAAGGGAUUAGAUACCCCUGUAGUC
rnacentral:rRNA from 1 species